rnacentral:pre_miRNA from 1 species
GACCUCCUUCCUUGCUCCAAGGGAGGAGUCCGGGGCUUUGGCGAGGGAAAUACCGCCACUUCUCUCUUCGCCAAAGCCCCAGACUCCUUCCUUGCUCCAAGGGAGGAGUCU